rnacentral:lncRNA from 1 species
ACCCGCGACCGUGCGGUCGGGGGACGCGGGCAGGCGGGGGGGCGGGGGGGGCGGGUCGGCGGCGACGGGGAGGAGGCGCACAGCGGGCGAGGGCCGGGAGAGCGCGUGGGGAAGGGCCGGUCCCGGGAAGGGCGCGCCAACGAAGGCGCGAGCCGGGCCACCGGGUAAACGCGCACGGGAUCCCACCGCCACCAGCACGAGGGCGGUCCCGCGACGCCCGGGACGCCGGCCGGCCUCAGCACCCUUGGCAGGCCUCCCCGCAAACCGGGCCCCACACCGCCCGGGCCCAGGCACGCGCGACCCCCGCCGCGGGGGUCCCGUCCGAACCUCCGUCCGUCCAUCCGCCCGUCCGUCCAUCCGUCCGGUCCAACCCGGAGUCACGACCCGGGGAGGCGCCCCCAGGCGGGAGCUGGCCCGACCCACACGCGCCCGCCGAGCCACCGCCGGCGGCGACUCGGCUCGGGAGCGGGCGGCGGCCCAGACAGCCAGCCGGCCGCUAGCGCGGCACACACGCACACACACGGGGUGAGUGGCGUGGGGGGGGGCGGGCCGCCCCAACCCCCCGGCCGCGCGCACGCUCGCACACGCACGCGGGCAACACACCCCGCACCGGACGCCGGCCCGGCCCGGCGGGAUCCUCCCCCGUCUCGGAGGGGGGAGGCGCAGGCCGCGGUAGGUAGGCAAAGAGCGGCACUCUGCCCAAACACGUCGCGACGGGAGUCCAACCCCGCGUCGCUGGCCACACUACACGCGCAGAGGAGGGGCAGCGGCUGGGGGCUCCGGUACCCCAAGGCACCCUCUCGGAUCGCUAGAGAAGGCUUUCUCACCGAGGGCGCAUCGCCCCCACCCGUUCGUCCUCCCAAACGGGCCCCACCAGGCGGCGCUCCGGGGCCGACAGGGCUCGCGGGGCGGGGGGCGGGUCUCCGGCAAGGGACAGGCACAGGGCAACCCCGAGCGCUCGCGGCCGGUGCCCCCUCGAGGACGCCACCUCCGCCUCGCCCGCGCACGGCGUGGUCACGUCACCGCCCAGAGGAGAGAGCUCCCCGCCUCCCGCGAGGCGGGCGAGAGAGAGGGACGGAGACGGGGACACGACCCGUGCCGGGAGAGAGGGGCAGCCCCUCGGGCUGGCCAAGCGCCGCGGCGCUGGCCCGGCCCGCCGCGGGCGCUCACGAGCCCCGCCAAGUCCUCCGAGUCACACCGCCCCACGCCACCCACCCCCCGCCGGCGCGGCGAGGGGGGGAGGAGAGGAGAGGGGAAAGGAAGACGAGGCGCCCGCGCCCCCGCCAGGGGCACGGGUGCGCCUCCCUUGCCGACUUCUUCCACCACCCGCUCCUCGGACACGCCGACGACGGCGGCGGCAGCCCGAGGGGAGUCGCCGGGGAAGGAAACGACGCCACCGCUCGGCCUCAGGAGGGCCGGGCGCAACGCGCUCAAGCGCGCCCAGGCCGGGCGGUGAGCAGCGCGGCGUCGGGCCGGCCCUCCCCGCGGAGGAGGGGAGGGCCGCUCGCCACGGACCCAGGGCCUUCGGGAAAGGCCGGCGAGAGUGUCCGCCGCGUCCGAGGACCCCGGUCCCGCCAGCGCCGCGAGGCAAGAAGGCGGGAGGCCGGGGUCGGGCCGGAGUCCGCACCACCCCCAACCCCGGCGCGCGCCCCCCGCGCACCCGCCACGACGGCCGGGCGCGGAGGAGCCGGGGAGGGAGGGGCCCGCGGGCAGAACGAGAAGAGCGGUCGCAUCCGCCGUGGACGCCCGUCCCUCGUCUGA